CUUGGCAGAAGCAGUUUUCAAAGGAGUCCUUUCAGGGAGUUGAUUUUGUUGUAGAUGGUACUUCCCUGACAUAAUAUUCUGCUCCUAUCUCAUUCCUGCUCUUCCAUCUAUGAGGAUGUGUGAGUAGCUUUUGUCCAGUGAAAAGAACCUUUGUUUGAAGGAACUUCUGUGAAGAGUGCCACUACAGAGAAAGUCAGGCACUAGUGAUGCAGAGGGAUCUGGCAGUGCUGGAAGAUCUAUGGACUGGGACACACAGUGCAUGAGUCUAUUUGAAACUGUUUGAUAAGUUACUCUGCUCACAGAACAAUUUGCUAAACCUGCUGCAUAUAUACAUGUUUGUUUAACAGCUCAGCGCUCUGCUUUUACUGUUGUAAAUGGAUCGUUCCAUCCAGAAGAUGGCGCUGUCUGCAUUUACUUCCAAAUUACUUACCACAAAAAAAAAAUUCUAUCCAAUUCAACCUUGAGUGUGGUAAUUCACUUCUGUGCAGGAUCGCAGAACACAUGACAAGCUGGGUCGUAAACAUCCAUGGAAUUGCUGUUUACCUGUAGUCAGUAAUCACAACUUUCUGAUCAGCCUCUCAGGUACAGGUAUUAAAUCUUUACUGUUUAGUUGGCAGUUUUGAUAUAGCUGGUGAGGUUGCUUCAUUCAUGGGGUUUUGAUGAGAAAGCAGAAAUAUAUGGGAACAGUCAGAAAAUAUGAGGAAGAAACAUGUAGACAUGAAUAUAAUUUUUUUUUCCCAAAUUUCUGGGAAUUUGGGAAUUUGAGCUGGAAUUUGUCUCACUGCAGCUUGUACCCAUUGUCCUUUUUUGUUGUUGUUGUUGUGGACCUCCUAUAAAAUGCUAGAUUCAGCUUCUCUACAACCACACAUUGAAUAGUUGAAGAGAGCAAUAAGAUCUUCCAUUAACCUUCCCUUCUCUAGGCCAAACAGUCCCAGCAAUCUCAAGGAUUACUUACAUGUCUUAUGUUGUGUACCAUUAAUCAUCUUGGUGAUUGCCAUCAAAUGAAAUGAGCAAAUGAAAUGUGAACCUCCACGUCUCUCAUAUUGCUCUAGUGUUAUAAUUCUGCAAUAUAAAAUUUACUUUUAAUAUAUGUAUGAUAUAUAGCUCUAUACUGUGCGCACAUUCUCUUACUGUAUUGACCAUAGCACUGUUUUCUUGAACUUUUUGAGAGUUAAAAUAAAAAUCCAGAGCAAUAUUACUUC
rnacentral:lncRNA from 7 species